rnacentral:rRNA from 1 species
CCUACGUGGCGCUGCAGUAGGGAAUAUUACUCAAUGGGGGAAACCCUGAAGCAGCCACGCCUCGUGGAGGAUGAAGGUUUUCGGAUUGUACACUCCUUUUGUUAGAGAAGAUACUGACGGUAUCUAACGAAUAAGCACCGGCUAACUCCGUGCCAGCAGCCGCGGUAAUACGGAGGGUGCAAGCGUUACUAGGAAUCACUGGGCGUAAAGAGCGCGUAGGCGGGAUAGCAAGUCAGAUGUGAAAUCCUAUGGCUUAACCAUAGAACUGCAUUUGAAACUGUUAUUCUAGAGUAUGGGAGAGGGAGGUGGAAUUCUUGGUGUAGGGGUAAAAUCCGUAGAGAUCAAGAGGAAUACUCAUGGCGAAGGCGACCUGCUAGAACAUAACUGACGCUGAUGCGCGAAAGCGUGGGGAGCAAACAGGAUUAGAUACCCGUGUAGUC